rnacentral:rRNA from 1 species
AUUGAACGCUGGCGGCAGGCCUAACACAUGCAAGUCGAGCGAGAGGCGGACGGGUGAGUAAUGUAUGGGGACUGCACGAUAGAGGGGGAUAACUACUGGAAACGGUAGCUAAUACCGCAUACUUUUGGAUAACCGAUAUGGGAUUAGCUAGUAGGUGAGGUAAUGGCGUAACUAGGCGACGAUCCGUAGCUGGUCUGAGAGGAUGAGCAGCCACACUGGGAUUGAGACACGGCCCAGACUCCUACGGAGGCAGCAGUGGGGAAUAUUGCACAAUGGGCGCAAGCCUGAUGCAGCCAUGCCGCGUGUAUGAAGAAGGCCCUAGGGUUGUAAAGUACUUUCAGUCGGGAGGCGUUACCGACAGAAGAAGCACCGGCUAACUCCGUGCCAGCAGCCGCGGUAAUAC